CUCCAAUAGCGUAUAUUAAAGUUGUUGCAGUUAAAAGGCCCGUAGUUGAACUUCAGACCUGGUGGGGUGGUCCGCUUAACGGCGUGUACUGCUCUGCUGGGCCUUACCUCUUGGUGAGCCGGCGUGGCCUUAACUGGUUGCGUCGGGGAACCAGGACUUUUACCUUGAGAAAAUUAGAGUGUUCAAAGCAGGCCUAUGCCUGAAUACAUUAGCAUGGAAUAAUAAAAUAGGACGUCCGGUUCUAUUUUGUUGGUUUCUAGAGUCGCCGUAAUGAUUAAUAGGGAUAGUUGGGGGCAUUGGUAUUGAGUCGCUAGAGGUGAAAUUCUUGGAUUGACUCAAGACCGACUACUGCGAAAGCAUUUGCCAAGGAUGUUUUCAUUAAUCAAGGACGAAGGUUAGGGGAUCGAAAACGAUCAGAUACCGUUGUAGUCUUAACAG
rnacentral:rRNA from 1 species